GACGAACGCUGGCGGCGUGCUUAACACAUGCAAGUCGAACGGAAAGGCCCUGCUUUUGUGGGGUGCUCGAGUGGCGAACGGGUGAGUAACACGUGAGUAACCUGCCCUUGACUUUGGGAUAACUUCAGGAAACUGGGGCUAAUACCGGAUAGGAGCUCCUGCUGUAUGGUGGGGGUUGGAAAGUUUCGGCGGUUGGGGAUGGACUCGCGGCUUAUCAGCUUGUUGGUGGGGUAGUGGCUUACCAAGGCUUUGACGGGUAGCCGGCCUGAGAGGGUGACCGGCCACAUUGGGACUGAGAUACGGCCCAGACUCCUACGGGAGGCAGCGGUGGAGAAGAUUGCACAAUGGGCGGAAGCCUGGUGCAGCAACGCCACGUGCGGGAUGACGGCCAGCGGGUUGUAAACCGCUUUCGCCUGUGACGAAACGUGAGUGACGGUAAUGGGUAAAGAAGCACCGGCUAACUACGUG
rnacentral:rRNA from 1 species